AAGAGAGACAUGUUGGUUAUGGGGUUGGCUUGAAACCAAUUAGAGAAGGUUCGAUUCCUUCCUUUCUUG
rnacentral:tRNA from 1 species